GGGUAACUAUAGAUACCGUUACGCUGGGUAACUAUAGAGACCUUUAGGUUUAGGCUGGGUAACUACAGAGACCUUUAGGCUUAGGCUGGGUAACUACAGAGACCUUUAGGUUUAGGCUGGGUAACUACAGAGACCUUUAGGCUUAGGCUGGGUAACUAUAGAGACCUUUGGGUUUAGGCUGGGUAACUAUAGAGACCUUUAGGUUUAGGCUGGGUAACUAUAGAGACCUUUAGGUUUAGGCUGGGUAACUACAGAGACCUUUAGGUUUAGGCUGGGUAACUAUAGAGACCUUUAGGUUUAGGCUGGGUAACUAUAGAGACCUUUGGGUUUAGGCUGGGUAACUAUAGAGACC